rnacentral:rRNA from 1 species
AUUGAACGCUGGCGGCAUGCCUUACACAUGCAAGUCGAACGGUAACAGGUCUUCGGAUGCUGACGAGUGGCGAACGGGUGAGUAAUACAUCGGAACGUGCCUAGUAGUGGGGGAUAACUACUCGAAAGAGUGGCUAAUACCGCAUGAGAUCUACGGAUGAAAGCAGGGGAUCGCAAGACCUUGUGCUACUAGAGCGGCAGAUGGCAGAUUAGGUAGUUGGUGGGAUAAAAGCUUACCAAGCCGACGAUCUAUAGCUGGUCUGAGAGGACGAUCAGCCACACUGGGACUGAGACACGGCCCAGACUCCUACGGGAGGCAGCAGUGGGGAAUUUUGGACAAUGGGCGAAAGCCUGAUCCAGCAAUGCCGCGUGCAGGAUGAAGGCCUUCGGGUUGUAAACUGCUUUUGUACGGAACGAAAAGCCCCGGGUUAAUACCCUGGGGUCAUGACGGUACCGUAAGAAUAAGCACCGGCUAACUACGUGCCAGCAGCCGCCGUAA